rnacentral:rRNA from 1 species
CCUACGGGUGGCAGCAGUCGAGAAUCAUUCACAAUGGGGGAAACCCUGAUGGUGCGACGCCGCGUGGGGGAAUGAAGGUCUUCGGAUUGUAAACCCCUGUCAUGUGGGAGCAAAUUAAAAAGAUAGUACCACAAGAGGAAGAGACGGCUAACUCUGUGCCAGCAGCCGCGGUAAUACAGAGGUCUCAAGCGUUGUUCGGAACCACUGGGCGUAAGGCGUGCGUAGGCUGUUUCGUAGGUCGUGUGUGAAAGGCGCGGGCUCAACCCGCGGACGGCACAUGAUACUGCGAGACUAGAGUAAUGGAGGGGGAACCGGAAUUCUCGGUGUAGCAGUGAAAUGCGUAGAUAUCGAGAGGAACACUCGUGGCGAAGGCGGGUUCCUGGACAUUAACUGACGCUGAGGCACGAAGGCCAGGGGAGCGAAAGGGAUUAGAUACCCGGGUAGUC